UACGGGGGGGGCAAGCGUUGUUCGGAAUUACUGGGCGUAAAGGGCGUGUAGGCGGCCAACUAAGUCCGACGUGAAAUCCCAAAGCUUAACUUUGGAACUGCGUCGGAUACUGGAUGGCUUGAAUUCGGGAGAGGGAUGCAGAAUUCCAGGUGUAGCGGUGAAAUGCGUAGAUAUCUGGAGGAACACCGGUGGCGAAGGCGACAUCCUGGACCGGUAUUGACGCUGAGGCGCGAAAGCCAGGGGAGCAAACAGG
rnacentral:rRNA from 1 species